rnacentral:rRNA from 1 species
UACGAAGGGGGCUAGCGUUGCUCGGAAUCACUGGGCGUAAAGGGUGCGUAGGCGGGUCUUUAAGUCAGGGGUGAAAUCCUGGAGCUCAACUCCAGAACUGCCUUUGAUACUGAGGAUCUUGAGUUCGGGAGAGGUGAGUGGAACUGCGAGUGUAGAGGUGAAAUUCGUAGAUAUCGGAAGGAACAUCAGUGGCGAAGGCGACUUCCUGGACCAAUACUGACGCUCAGGUGCGAAAGCGUGGGGAGCAAACAGG